GGUAGAGAAUACUAAGGCGAUCGAGAGAACUGUGGUUAAGGAACUCGGCAAAAUGCCCCCGUAACUUCGGGAGAAGGGGGACCAGUCCUGGUGACGACAUUUACUGUCUGAGCUGGGGUUGGUCGCAGAGACCAGAGAGAAGCGACUGUUUACUAAAAACACAGGUCCGUGCGAAGUCGUAAGACGAUGUAUACGGACUGACGCCUGCCCGGUGCUGGAAGGUUAAGAGGACCGGUCAGCCACUUCGGUGGCGAAGCUGAGAAUUUAAGCCCCAGUAAACGGCGGUGGUAACUAUAACCAUCCUAAGGUAGCGAAAUUCCUUGUCGGGCAAGUUCCGACUUGCACGAAUGGCGUAACGACUUCUCUGCUGUCUCAACCACAGACUCGGCGAAAUUGCAGUACGAGUAAAGAUGCUCGUUACGCGCGGCAGGACGAAAAGACCCCGGGACCUUCACUAUAGCUUGGUAUUGGUGUUCGGUUCGGUUUGUGUAGGAUAGGUGGGAGACUGUGAAACUCGCACGCCAGUGUGGGUGGAGUCAUUGUUGAAAUACCACUCUGACCGUAUUGGACAUCUAACCUCGGACCAUGAUCUGGUUCAGGGACAGUGCCUGGUGGGUAGUUUAACUGGGGCGGUUGCCUCCUAAAAAGUAACGGAGGCGCCCAAAGGUUCCCUCAGCCUGGUUGGCAAUCAGGUGUUGAGUGUAAGUGCACAAGGGAGCUUGACUGUGAGACGUACAUGUCGAGCAGGGACGAAAGUCGGGACUAGUGAUCCGGCACCGGCAAGUGGAAGCGGUGUCGCUCAACGGAUAAAAGGUACCCCGGGGAUAACAGGCUGAUCUUCCCCAAGAGUCCAUAUCGACGGGAUGGUUUGGCACCUCGAUGUCGGCUCGUCGCAUCCUGGGGCUGGAGUAGGUCCCAAGGGUUGGGCUGUUCGCCCAUUAAAGCGGCACGCGAGCUGGGUUUAGAACGUCGUGAGACAGUUCGGUCUCUAUCCGCCGCGCGCGUAAGAAACUUGAGGAAACCUGUCCCUAGUACGAGAGGACCGGGACGGACGAACCUCUGGUGUGCCAGUUGUUCCACCAGGAGCACCGCUGGUUAGCUACGUUCGGAAGGGAUAACCGCUGAAAGCAUCUAAGCGGGAAGCCUGUUCCAAGAUGAGGUUUCUCACCACCUAGCGUGGUUAAGGCCCCCCACAGACCAUGGGGUUGGUAGGCCAGAACUGUAAGCACAGCAAUGUGUUCAGGUGACUGGUACUAAUCGGCCGAGGACUUCC
rnacentral:rRNA from 1 species